UAGGGAAUCUUCGGCAAUGGGGGCAACCCUGACCGAGCAACGCCGCGUGAGUGAAGAAGGUUUUCGGAUCGUAAAGCUCUGUUGUAAGAGAAGAACGUGUGUGAGAGUGGAAAGUUCACACAGUGACGGUAACUUACCAGAAAGGGACGGCUAACUACGUGCCAGCAGCCGCGGUAAUACGUAGGUCCCGAGCGUUUUCCGGAUUUAUUGGGCGUAAAGCGAGCGCAGGCGGUUUAAUAAGCCUGAAGUUAAAGGCAGUGGCUUAACCAUUGUUCGCUUUGGAAACUGUUAAACUUGAGUGCAGAAGGGGAGAGUGGAAUUCCAUGUGUAGCGGUGAAAUGCGUAGAUAUAUGGAGGAACACCGGUGGCGAAAGCGGCUCUCUGGUCUGUAACUGACGCUGAGGCUCGAAAGCGUGGGGAGCAAACAGG
rnacentral:rRNA from 1 species